UACAGAGGGUGCAAGCGUUAAUCGGAAUUACUGGGCGUAAAGCGUGCGUAGACGGUUAUUUAAGUCAGGUGUGAAAGCCCCGGGCUCAACCUGGGAAUUGCAUUUGAGACUGAAUAGCUAGGGUGCGGAAGAGGGAAGCGGAAUUUCCGGUGUAGCAGUGAAAUGCGUAGAUAUCGAGAGGAACACCAGUGGCGAAGGCGAGUCUCUGGACGACUCCUGACACUGAGGCACGAAAGCUGGGGGAGCAAACAGG
rnacentral:rRNA from 1 species